UACGGAGGGUGCGAGCGUUGUCCGGAAUCAUUGGGCGUAAAGGGUGCGUAGGCGGCGGGGCAAGUCAGGUGUGAAAUCUCGGGGCUCAACCCCGAAACUGCACUUGAUACUGCCUUGCUCGAGUACUGGAGAGGAGACUGGAAUUUACGGUGUAGCAGUGAAAUGCGUAGAUAUCGUAAGGAAGACCAGUGGCGAAGGCGAGUCUCUGGACAGUUACUGACGCUGAGGCACGAAGGCCAGGGGAGCAAACGGG
rnacentral:rRNA from 1 species